CCUACGGGAGGCAGCAGUGAGGAAUAUUGGUCAAUGGGCGCGAGCCUGAACCAGCCAAGCAGCGUGAAGGAUGACUGCCCUACGGGUUGUAAACUUCUUUUAUAAAGGAAUAAAGUGAGGCACGUGAGCCUUUUUGUAUGUACUUUAUGAAUAAGGAUCGGCUAACUCCGUGCCAGCAGCCGCGGUAAUACGGAGGAUCCGAGCGUUAACCGGAUUUAUUGGGUUUAAAGGGAGCGUAGAUGGGUUGUUAAGUCAGUGGUGAAAGUUUGCGGGUCAACCGUAAAAUUGCAAUUGAUACUGGCAGCCUUGAGUACAGUUGAGGUAGGCGGAAUGCGUAGUGUAGCGGUGAAAUGCUUAGAUAUCACGAUGAACUCCGAUUGCGAAGGCAGCUUACUAAACUGCAACUGACAUUGAUGCUCGAAAGUGUGGGUAUCAAACAGGAUUAGAUACCCCUGUAGUC
rnacentral:rRNA from 1 species